rnacentral:lncRNA from 1 species
AUGUGUACCAAUAAAACUGAUCCAAGGUGAUAUAUUCCUGUGUGUGUGUGUGUGUGUGUGUGCGCGUUACUGUGUUGAGAGGAGGAGUCUCGUCAGGAGUGUCGGGUGCUGUCAGCGUCCUUCUCUUCCCUACACUCUCAUCAAUCUCCUCUCCCUUCAUCUUUCUAUCACCAUCUUCCUCCCUUCUCUUCAUCCCUAUUAGAAUUUAAAGAGUCUUGUUCGUGGAGUCCCAUCCAACCCUCUGACCAUCAUCGAGUUGAGUUUGUGUCAAGUUCAUGGUUUUUUUGUGGGCGAGACCGAAUUGUUCCGAGGGGUCCGAUUGGUUGUAGUGGAGGUCCACUACUGCCCUCCCUGACACCUGACACCACUGGUCCCGCCCUCCUCGCACUGACCCUCAUCCAUGGGGCUCCUCCUCCGUGACCUCUCAGCAUGAAGGUCGGCCACUCCCCUUGCCACGCCUACAAUAAACAGCCCUCCUCCUACUGACUGGAGAGAGAGAGAGAGAGAGUUUAUUUCCCUUUUGUUUGUCUAUUCCACUUGCUUUGGCAAUGUAAACAUGUGUUUCCAAUUCCCUUUGAGAGAGGGGGAAAGAGAGAAAGAACGAGGGAGUAGUGAGAGAAAGAAUAGAGGCUUUCACUGUUCCACUGCCUCGCCUGUCCUGAGAUACUGGGCUGUUUAUAAGCCUUCCUCUAAUCAGUUCAAUUUUGUUUAAAGUUUCACCACAUUACAGCAGUAAAACAAGCUAAAAUCCUCAAAUCUGAUCUUUGACCCCUAAAACAAGAGAAAAGACUUCCUCCUAAUGUACUACAUGUUUUUAUAGGAAGUAUAAAAGUAUCAAACGUAAUCUCCUUUGUAGAAAGCUCCAUUAAAACUCGGGGGGACAUAACACAAACAAUUAUUCUGCCCUUACAAGGGCUGGUCAGAACUCCCUGGGUUGCUAAGCGCUGUCUGGAUCUUGACCAAUCAGAUUGGAGACAGGGGAAGAAGGUCAGAGGUGAACAGAUGUGAGUUGGUUAGAAUAGGGGUGUGUUCAGAGCAUUGCAGAAAGAAAAUGAAUAAAGCUGACGUGAUUCCCUGUUCUAUCCAACAGAUAGUCAUGUCCCAAUCCCAAAUGGACCCCUACGCGCAUAUGACAAUCUGAGAGGAUUCGAUUGGCAUAAUCAAUAUGGUUUAACUUUCACUUAGCCUAUCAGAAGGCAAGGCGUUAUUACCAGUGUAAGUAAGGGAAUAGAAAAGAGAGAACAUGUCUAACGCAAUUCCUGAGUAAACAAACACAUUCUUCCAAAUCUCAAAACACUGACAAUUAGAGGUCGACAGAUUAGGAU